GCCGGGGUUGCAGAGAGGCACUGCGCCGGCCUUGAGAGCCGGUGCCCGUUUCGGGCUCCUGGGUUCAAGUCCCAGCCCCGGCG
rfam:Geoglobus ahangari strain 234, complete genome.